UACGUAGGGUCCGAGCGUUGUCCGGAAUUAUUGGGCGUAAAGGGCUCGUAGGCGGUCUGUUGCGUCGGGAGUGAAAACUUACAGCUUAACUGUGAGCGUGCUUCCGAUACGGGCAGACUUGAGGUAUUCAGGGGAGAACGGAAUUCCUGGUGUAGCGGUGAAAUGCGCAGAUAUCAGGAGGAACACCGGUGGCGAAGGCGGUUCUCUGGGCCGUAACUGACGCUGAGGAGCGAAAGCGUGGGGAGCGAACAGG
rnacentral:rRNA from 1 species